AUGUACUUAGCUAGCGCUACAAGACCAGAUAUCUCUUUUGCUGUGAGCAAACUGAGUAGGUUCAUGUCCAACCCGGGUGAUGAUCAUUGGCAUGCACUAGAAAGGGUCUUGUGCUAUCUGAGAGGUACUAUGAGUUACGGAAUUACUUAUUCAGGGCAUCCUGCUGUGCUAGAAGGAUAUAGUGAUUCAAAUUGGAUCUCUGAUGUUGAUGUACUUUACGCAACAAGUGGGUAUGUAUUUACUCAUGGUGGUGGCGCAGUGUCAUGGAGGUCUUGCAAGCAAACCAUAUUGACGAGGUCAACUAUGGAAGCAGAAUUAACUGCUUUGGACACAGCUACUGUUGAGGCAGAAUGGCUGCGUGAGCUCUUGAUGGACUUGCCGGUUGUUGAAAAACCUGUACCGGCUAUUCUUAUGAAUUGUGAUAACCAAACGGUUAUCGCUAAAGUGAACAAUUCUAAAGAUAAUGCAAAGUCAUCAAGACAUGUGAAAAGACGUUUGAAGUCUGUCAGGAAGUUGAGAAACUCCGGAGUAAUAACUGUUACGUAUAUACAAACAGACAAAAACCUGGCAGAUCCCUUUACAAAGGGACUAUCACGAAAUGUGAUAGAUAUUGCAUCGAGGGAGAUGGGUAUGAGACCCAUA
rnacentral:rRNA from 1 species